UUAUUUCAAACUUAUCGAAAUAACAGCCCAUCGUUAUUCAAUCGAGGUCUAACCCUUCUCUUUUUUGGCGAAGGCCCUUGGCCUUAAAGGGUGUUAUUUAGAACUUAUGAAUAUAACAGCCCAUCGUCGUUCGAUCGAGAUUGAACCCUUCUCUUUUUUGCCGAAGGCAUUUGACCUUAAAGGGUGUUAUUUCAAACUUAUCGAAAUAACAUCCCGUCAUCGACCUUCUUUUUUUUGGCGAAUGCCCUUGGCCUUAAAGAGUGUUAUUUCGAACUUAUCAAAAUAACAGCCCAUCAUUGUUCGAUCGAGGUCAAACCCUUCUCUUUUUUGGCGAAGGCCUUUGGACUUAAAGGGUGUUAUUUCAAACUUAUCGAAAUAACAUCCCGUCAUCGACCUUCU
rnacentral:lncRNA from 1 species